AUGGUGACUGGUCCAGAGCCCGUGGGAGGCCCUUCAGUCUUCAUCUUCCCCCUGAAACCCAAGGACACCCUCAUGAUCUCCCGAACACCCGAGGUCACCUGCGUGCUGGUGGAAGUGAGCCAGGACAACCCCUAUGUCCAGUUCACCUGGUAUGUGGACGGCACGGAGGUGCGCACAGCCAGGACGAAGCCAGGGGAGGUGCAGUUUAAUGGCACCUACCGCGUGGUCAGCGCCCUGCACGUCCAGCACCAGGACUGGCUGAGUGGAAGGGAGUUCAGGUGUAAGGUCAACAGCAGAGCCCUCCUGUUCCCUGUUGAGAGGACUAUCUCCAGGGCCAAAGGGCGGGCCCGGGAGCCACAGGUGUACACCCUGCCCCCACACCCGGACAAGCUGUCCAGGAACAGGGUCAGCAUGACCUGCCUGGUCAAAGACUUCUACCCAUCUGACAUCAAUGUUGAGUGGCAGAGCAAUGGGCUGACGGAGCCGGAGGGCAAGUACAGCACCACCCCAGCCCAGCUGGACAGCAACGGGUCCUACUUCGUGUACAGCAAGUUCUCAGUGGAGAUGAUCAGGUGGCACCAGGGAGACGUAUUCACGUGUGCGGUGAUGCACGAGGCUCUCCACAAUCACUAUAGGCAGAGAUCCACCUCCCAGUCUCCGGAGGUAGUCCUGGACGAGAGCUGUGUCAAGACCCAGGUCGGGGAGCUGGACGGGCUGUGGACCACCAUCUCCAUCUUCAUCACACUCUUCCUGCUCAGCAUGUGCUACAGCGCCACCAUCACCCUCUUCAAGGUGAAGUGGAUCUUCUCCUCGGUGGUGGAGCUGAAGGAGACGAUGGUCCCCGACUACAGGAACACGAUCGGGCAGGGAACCUAG